GCCGCGCGUGCGCAGGGCUGUGUUUCCUUCUAGCACCUUAAGGUGUGAAUCUGUGGUGGCUUCAGAUGAUCUGAAUCCCAGCGUCUCCCACCCCCUCUUCGCAUUCCCAGCUCCACACGUUCCCAUCUCUGUUCCCGUGCCUGCCAUGAGCACUUGUGCUGCCUCUCGCUUCAGCAGCGAGGCAUUGCCAACAAGGCUUAUUUGGGCUGUACAGGUGAGUCUGUCUCGAGGUCCAGCACCUGUGUCAGGAAGGUGGUGACAAGCAGAGGUAAUGCUGUCCUUUCUGCUUGUGCUGUUCCUUUCAGGAACUUCAAACUACUUGCUCUUGGCAGUUUUUUUGUUUUUUGUUUUUUUUUUUUUUCCCAAGUGUUGUGGUUUGUACUAAUUACCCCUCUUUAUACCUACUCCAUUGUUCAUCCCUGUAAGAAAUUAUCCUGUCACUUAGCCAUUGAACUAGCAAUAUACUGAACCGGCUGUAAUUAGCAAAUUGAUAAAGAUACAUAUGAUGCUUAAACCAAUAAUAUAAUAGCCUCCGCGUUUUCCACAAACCCGUGACAAUGCAAAUGUCAUGCAUUCUAAUUUUAGACAGACACUGCGUCUUCUUUUCAUUAGCCUUUGCUUAUUGUCUUAUGGCCUGCCUUAGCAAGAUGGAUUUUAAAGAAUGAACUCAGAAUUUGGAUUUCUAAGUCGUGAGUGAUAACACUCUGCAUUAUUAAUGGAUGGAUUUUUGUAACUGCUAUAGUUAUAAAAGCCUUUGUAUUCUGUUUUAGACAUAAGGCAGUUCUUCAGGGGAUGUGUCCGUUGACCAUAAAACAUUUGGGGUCUCCAGCCAAGACUUUGUUUUCUAAAUUAUUUCCAGCACGACUGGCGGCACAGAUGAGAACUGCCUGGAGCUGGGGAGAGAGGCAGGGAAGGAGAGAUGAAGGAAGCUUACACAAAAUAAGAUUAAAUUUGCUUGAUUUUGCCUGAUGCAGUUUAUGUCAGUUGUUAAGUUUUGAUAUUCAUUUAUUUAUGAACCAAUUAGAAUGUUGUGGAUUUCUCUGGAAUAUGGAUCUUGUAUCAAAAUGAAUAAGGUCAACAUGCUGGCAUUUGGCACUUUGUGCAGUGUUUUAGUGCCUAAACUGAAGUCACUAAUAGCAUUUUGUUUUGUUUUCUGUGUUAGCCAAAAUGAAGGAUAAACCAAGUGGCUUUUAAAACACAAACUGUUUAUUAAUUCCAAUGGAAUAUUUGUUUAUUAAAUUUUAACAGGGUUGGGUUUUUUGGUUUUUUCUUUUUUUCAGAAAUGCAAACCCAUAUUUAGAAAAGAAAGUCUUUGCUUCUGCCUCCCUUUUCACUGUCUUCAUUUUCCCAAAGAGGAGACAGCAUGCUUUAAAAGCACAUUCUGUAUCUUUGCCGGUCUCCACUAGAGUAGUCAGUGGAUGUAUCAGUGAGACUCAUUUUAUUGUUAAUUUGUCUUCUUGAUGCACAAUAUCAGACUCUAUUUUCAUUGACUGAAUAACUGUGGAGUCAUUAUGAAGGCAAUAAGAACUGAGUUACUAGCCUUGGAAGUGAUUACCGCUAGAUUUUUGCCUCUUAAGCCCCUAAACAGGAUGUUGCAUUAUUACAUGCAAUUCUCUUCCCUGAUGUACUGUCUGAGCACUGGCCAGACUAUCAUGUACCACUGAUUCAUACAGAACACUUAAUCUCGGUGGAGCCAAAGUAAGUAUACAUGAGAUCAUAAAUGACAGUUUUCAUUGCAAUGCCUUUUUUUUUUUUUUUUUUUAAUGGAGCUCUCUGUCUUGAUGAAAUACUAUUUAGCAUCAUUUAGCAGCCUGAUUGCUGGAUGCUACUAAGUCAUCAGAUCCUGCCUGGAACACUCAUCUGCUUGUUUUUCCAGGGAACAUGGAUGUCAGGCCGCGUGUGUGAUAGGCAAGGCCACAAAAUGAGCAUCAGGGAUGUGCAUCCCUGAAGUUGAGUUUCACAGAUGGAGGAGUAGUUUGAAGAUGAGGUGAUGGUCUUCCAGCACGAUUAUGUGAAUUACAGAACCUGAACCAUGGUUUACACAAGUCAUUUUCCUUGGAAAAUAAAUACCUGCUCUUGAAAAUAUCUGAACGUGUAGAAAUGAAGUAAGGAAAUGUGGUAGUUGCCAGUCAGCCAGGGCUUCCCCUCAGUUUACUGUGUUCAUCAGCCUUAGCCUGGUGCGAGGCACAGCAGCCAUUUGAAUACAACAUGCAUGAGCCAGCUGGCAGCAUUGUGUCUGUUGGGCUAGUCAGCAGCAGGAUUCUCUCUUUUACUUAGGUGACGCUCUGAUCAUUUUUCAAUGUUUAUAUUAGAGCAGUUCUCAGAGGCCCUAGAAAUGAAGCAGAAAUGAUCUGCUCCACAGAGAUUUAUGAAGAAAUUGUCACGACUCUUACUGCCCCUUCCUGCUCCACUGGUACAAACUGUGCCACAGAGCAGCAAAGAAUUGAAUCUUUUCAAAAGCAGGUGCAUGAGGAAAGCUGGCCUUUCAGCCUCACAAAGUAUUUGCUUGGGAGAGAAGGAAAGGGGGAGGGAGAAAAGGAAAAAUGCGGCCUGGGAUUUGUAAGACUAUAUCAGUACUUGAAGGAAUCAUUGAAUAAAGCACCUCACAUACAUCUUGUUCAUCCUCUGGCACUCCUAACAAAGCAGUAGCUGCGACUGCGGUAUGUGAAGUGGCUAAUGCUGCAGGUUAAGCUGUAAGUACUUACUGGGUCUUGCUCCUCAGAGGAAAAUGUACAUACACAGGCUUCUGCAGGCUGCUCAGUUUUGCCCAGGAAUAGAUUUUUUUUUUUACAUGUGUACCAGUAUUGCUCUGGUAUAUAAAAAUGCACUGUGUUGGUUUUCUGAACGUAGUUUGAUCACCCUAAAUCCACUGAAGUUCUCAUUUAGUCACGUAUGUCCACCUCUGUUCUCACUAUUAGACACGUCCAGCUGAUGAUCCUGCAAGACCACUUGAUCCUACUCUGCAAUGACCUGGUCUCGAGAUAGCUCAAAAGAUGCUGCCUUUUGCACUGAGGAGGCAGUCCAUUUGCCAAUUUCUGAUGUUCCCGGAAUGGCAUGCUACUUUGUGCAACCAGGAUAGAAGAUAGAGGCUUGCACAGCAUAUGUCCUAAUUAUGCAGCAGAUAGAAUGUUUCAUGGGAACAUGGAAAGUGGUCUAAAUCUGAAAUGGUAACCUAAAACUAAAGUCUUCAGUGUUACAGUCAGGCUCCUAAGUCUUCCAAGUUUCCACACUGAUCAUACAGUAUUAUGCUAAGCUUUCGUUUCAUAUCCUUCUGAAUAACUCAAUCCAUCUUCCUCCAUAUUUUCUAUAAAGAAAAUAUAUUGCAUGACCUACCUCAUUUUUGCAGGUAAUGUAAGGGGAUGGCAUAUCCUAUAUGGCCUUCAUUUAUUGCCAUCUUCAUAGAAUCAUAGAAUCAUAGAAUGGCCUGGUUUGAAAAGGACCAAAAUGAUCAUUUAGUUUCAACCCCCCUGCUAUGUGCAGGGCCACCAACCACCA